UACGAAGGGUGCUAGCGUUGUUCGGAAUCACUGGGCGUAAAGCGCACGUAGGCGGAUGUGCCAGUCAGGGGUGAAAUCCCGGAGCUCAACUCCGGAACUGCCUCUGAUACAGCACGUCUUGAGUUCGAGAGAGGUGGGUGGAAUUCCUAGUGUAGAGGUGAAAUUCGUAGAUAUUAGGAAGAACACCGGUGGCGAAGGCGGCCCACUGGCUCGAUACUGACGCUGAGGUGCGAAAGCGUGGGGAGCAAACAGG
rnacentral:rRNA from 1 species